ACGAUAUAUAAUAGACAGGUAGAGCUUCGGCAAUGGGGAGAUACGGCUAAAAAACGGCCCAAAAAGCGUCCCAGUUUGCGGAGUUGCCAGAUCGCGAAAUCCUAAUGUCUCGCUUCUCAGCGGAGGGCGAUGCUCUGCAGGGCCUUAUGGGACUGAAACGGUUUUUGUUGGAUAUCAAAUCCACAAAAGGCGUGUUAACUUGUAGCCCCUCAAAAAAAUGAUCUUUCUGCCAAUGCGGUUCUUUCAAGGCAGUAAGAUGAUUUUUCCGACAUGUCACAUUUACGUUAUGAUUUUUCAAAAAAAUUACUUUGGGGGGAACCAAUAGCGAUUAGCCUGCCCUCACGUGACGUCUGUGUUACACGACUCGUUGAGUUGGGCAAGGUUGGGCAGUCGUGUGUGUUAAGAGCGUCUCAAAAGUUGGCUAAACAGCAGUUCGACCUUUUUUAGAGUUUAUUUUGAUGUACAAUUAAGACUAGCAACGUGGCAGCCUUGAGUUUUAGCAGACUACGAAGUCUCGGCUGUGAGCUGUCAGAAACAGUGACAAAACAGUGUCGACUGUCGAGUCCAGAUUUGUAAUGCGAUCAAAUUCGGACUUUUCUCAUAUAUUUUGGACUUGGUUUACAUUACACCCAAUAUAAUUGGAAAUGACCAAAAGUUGUUUUGUUUGGGUUGCAAGUCCGGUUAUAAAACUGACCAAACAAAAAUUUCUCUUUUUAAAGCCCCUUCUAAUAAAAUUCAAUUAAAAAAGUGGCUAGAUGUCAGUAGGAAGAAACCUCCAAAGAUUAAAGGUGUGGAGACUUAAAUCUGGUGCCUUACCUAAAACACCAAAAGCUCUUGAGAAAAUUGAUACCCACCCAGAAGUUCUUUGUAAUACCCGAAAAAGAAAGCAAAGAAUUCCAAAUGCUGCUGAAGCUGGUUUUGGUCUACAUUUAACAAUUCCAACUAUCGAAGACACAGUACCAGAAGAAAGUCAUUUCAUAUUGUCAUUGUCGUUUGUCAUAGUUCUGACAAACAUUAGGGCCUGAAGGUCGGACAUCCUAGGGGUUCAUAAGCAACAAGGAUUUCUUUUUCUCCCUUGAGAUUCACGUAUAAUAUUAUAUCUCCCGGGUGUGUUAAAAAAAUGUGUAGGUGUAUAAAUUCAUUUAGCCCAAACACAACAUGAGUAAAUGGGUAUCCAUGUUACAUGAAUUAUUAACCAUAUUUUAGUAUUGUUUAUCAUUCUCGAAAUCCAAUUAGUUAAUAAUGAACAUUUUUGAUUUUCUGGAAUUUUUAUAAAUCUGUUAAUUAGCAUGGAAUUUAUAUUGUGUAUGUCUGAAUUGAAGAAUGAACAUGAAAAACCCAUUUUAAAAGAAAUGUUAGUGAAACAUUUAAAGACUGCUUCACACUUCACAAUCAUUCGAGUAAACACUGUAACUACAAGCAAAGAAAUUCUUAGAGAUGAAAUUGAAGAGGCACUUUCAAUGCAAUAUUCCAUAAAGAUGAUUUCUCCCCCAGUGGUUCAAUUUCACCCUAAAGUACAUGACAUACUAGUUGUUAAAUCCAAUCAUGCCAUUGAAAAGGUAGAACCUAUUUACCCACAUGUUAUGGUUGGUUUGGGGUGUGCAAUAGCAAUUCAAAUAUGACAAUGACAAAACAAAACAAGUUUUGGUCAUUUUCUAUUAUAUUGGGUGUCUAAAAAAUAAACAAUUGA